rnacentral:rRNA from 1 species
GAACGAAGCGAUUAACGGAAUUUCGGAUGGAAGUUGAAUUGACUGAGUGGCGGACGGGUGAGUAACGCGUGGGUAACCUGCCUUGUACUGGGGGACAACAGUUAGAAAUGACUGCUAAUACCGCAUAAGCGCACAGUAUCGCAUGAUACAGUGUGAAAAACUCCGGUGGUACAAGAUGGACCCGCGUCUGAUUAGCUAGUUGGUAAGGUAACGGCUUACCAAGGCGACGAUCAGUAGCCGACCUGAGAGGGUGACCGGCCACAUUGGGACUGAGACACGGCCCAAACUCCUACGGGAGGCAGCAGUGGGGAAUAUUGCACAAUGGGCGAAAGCCUGAUGCAGCGACGCCGCGUGAGUGAAGAAGUAUUUCGGUAUGUAAAGCUCUAUCAGCAGGGAAGAAAAUGACGGUACCUGACUAAGAAGCCCCGGCUAACUACGUGCCAGCAGCCGCGGUAAUACGUAGGGGGCAAGCGUUAUCCGGAUUUACUGGGUGUAAAGGGAGCGUAGACGGUAAAGCAAGUCUGAAGUGAAAGCCCGCGGCUCAACUGCGGGACUGCUUUGGAAACUGUUUAACUGGAGUGUCGGAGAGGUAAGUGGAAUUCCUAGUGUAGCGGUGAAAUGCGUAGAUAUUAGGAGGAACACCAGUGGCGAAGGCGACUUACUGGACG